CUGCAAGAGAAAAUGUUCAAGUGGUGAAUUGCAUCAUUGUAGGCAAAGACUACUUUCUGUAACUUUAAAGUCUGGUUGCCUAAAGCCUCGAUCCUGGCCUUCACUUAUUUGGUGCUGUUCUUGAUUUCUUUGGCUGGGUAGCUAUGUACUUCUCAUAUCUGUUGUAAAAUUAAAGCUUCUGAUUAAAUCUUCAGCAUAUUGCCUACUUCUUUCUUAUUCUCUCUGGGUUGCCUGUGUGCUACUCUGACAUCAUGCCAUCUUGGGAGACCACCUGUGUCCACUAGAAUGUGAAUAUCAUGGGCACAAAAAUAGCUCUUUAUCUUUUCCUUUAAAAAAAAAAAAAUAACCGCUUACUCCAAAGCCUUGAUAGUAUCAGUAAGCUAUUUUAUAGGCAAUACAUUUCUAGAAAUAAGCAGCUUGUAGAAAAGAAGAGAUUUGGGAUCAAACCAUCACACAUCAUGGGUUCUAAACCACGGAUAACCUUAUUAUCAGAGUCAUAUGAUCAAUCCCUCUUUAAAUAAAGUGGGAUUAUCAUGAGCCAUCAGUUACGCAGUAACGUGGAAGAGUAUUCAAUAUUUGCCAUACCUGUGAAAACAAGGAUUGGCUUCAUGAGUACAUGCAGUAUUUGCUAAUUUUCAAAGACAUCUUGAGUUUAAAUGCUAUAAUUACCAGACUUAAAUAUACUAAUUUUAUAACCAUUUUAAGGAUGAAAGUCAGACUUUGCAAGAAACUGAAACUGUGACUCCUAGUGCUCUAUAUGAGUUAUAUUACACAUUUCUUACAGUUUGAUUUGUAUCAUUUCUAUUCUACAAGCACACUGUGAAAUUAGAAUGAAUAAU